UACGUAGGCAGCGAGCGUUGUUCGGAGUUACUGGGCGUAAAGGGUGUGUAGGCGGUUCUUUAAGUUUGGUGAUGAAAUCUCCCGGCUCAACCCGGGAGGGUGCGCCGAAUACUGAGGACUCGAGUGCGGGAGAGGAAAGUGGAAUUCCUGGUUGUAGCGGUGAAAUGCGUAGAUAUCAGGAGGAACACCGGUGGUGUAGACGGCUUUUCUGGACCGUAACUGACGCUGAGACACGAAAAGCGUGGGUAGCAAAACAGG
rnacentral:rRNA from 1 species